rnacentral:rRNA from 1 species
UACAGAGGAUGCAAGCGUUAUCCGGAAUGAUUGGGCGUAAAGAGCUCGUAGGCGGUUCGUCGCGUCGGCUGUGAAAACCCGGAGCUCAACUCCGGGCCUGCAGUCGAUACGGGCGGACUAGAGUUCGGCAGGGGAGACUGGAAUUCCUGGUGUAGCGGUGAAAUGCGCAGAUAUCAGGAGGAACACCGGUGGCGAAGGCGGGUCUCUGGACAUUUCCUGACGCUGAGGCACGAAAGCCAGGGGAGCAAACGGG